CGAGGAAUCUUGCGCAAUGGGCGAAAGCCUGACGCAGCAACGCCGCGUGAAGGAUGAAGGUCUUCGGAUUGUAAACUUCUGUUAAGUGGGAAGAAAGACCAUCUUUUAAUAGAAGAUGGGGAUGACGGUACCAUUAGAGAAAGCACCGGCUAACUUCGUGCCAGCAGCCGCGGUAAUACGAGGGGUGCAAACGUUAUUCGGAAUUAUUGGGCGUAAAGGGUGCGUAGACGGCGUGAUAAGUCAGUUGUUAAAUUCUUCGGCUCAACCGGGGCUCAGCAGCAGAAACUAUCACGCUAGAGGAUGGAAGAGAGAAGUGGAAUUCUCGGAGUAGCGGUAAAAUGCGUAGAUCUCGAGAGGAACACCGAUGGCGAAGGCAGCUUCUUGGUCCAUAUCUGACGUUGAGGCACGAAAGCGUGGGGAGCAAACAG
rnacentral:rRNA from 1 species